rnacentral:rRNA from 1 species
GGGUUCGUAAGUCAGUGGUGAAAUCCUACAGCUUAACUGUAGAACUGCCAUUGAUACUGCGAGUCUUGAGUGUAGUUGAGGUAGCUGGAAUGAGUAGUGUAGCGGUGAAAUGCAUAGAUAUUACUCAGAACACCAAUUGCGAAGGCAGGUUACCAAGUUACAACUGACGCUGAUGGACGAAAGCGUGGGGAGCGAACAGGAUUAGAUACCCUGGUAGUCCACGCUGUAAACGAUGCUAACUCGUUUUUGGAUUUUCGGAUUCAGAGACCAAGCGAAAGUGAUAAGUUAGCCACCUGGGGAGUACGUUCGCAAGAAUGAAACUCAAAGGAAUUGACGGGGGCCAGCACAAGCGGUGGAUUAUGUGGUUUAAUUCGAUGAUACGCGAGGAACCUUACCAAGACUUAAAUGGGAGUGGACAGGCUUAGAAAUAGGCUUUUCUUCGGACCACUUUCAAGGUGCUGCAUGGUUGUCGUCAGCUCGUGCCGUGAGGUGUUAGGUUAAGUCCUGCAACGAGCGCAACCCCUGUCACUAGUUGCUAACAUUAAGUUGAGGACUCUAGUGAGACUGCCUACGCAAGUAGAGAGGAAGGUGGGGAUGACGUCAAAUCAUCACGGCCCUUACGUCUUGGGCCACACACGUAAUACAAUGGCCGGUACAGAGGGCAGCUACACAGCGAUGUGAUGCGAAUCUCGAAAGCCGGUCUCAGUUCGGAUUGGAGUCUGCAACUCGACUCUAUGAAGCUGGAAUCG